AUUGAACGCUGGCGGAAUGCCUAACACAUGCAAGUCGAACGGCAGCACAAUAAGUAGCAAUACUUAUGGGUGGCGAGUGGCGGACGGGUGCGUAACGUGUAGGGAUCUGCCCUGAAGUGGGGGACAACCCGGGGAAACUCGGGCUAAGACCGCAUAAUACUCUACGGAGGAAAUCUGGCUUCGCAAGAAGCUGGAGCUUUAGGAUGAACCUACAUCCGAUUAGCUAGUUGGUGAGGUAAUGGCUCACCAAGGCGAUGAUCGGUAGCUGGUCUGAGAGGAUGACCAGCCACACUGGGACUGAGACGCGGCCCAGACUCCUACGGGAGGCAGCAGUGGGGAAUAUUGGACAAUGGGGGAAACCCUGAUCCAGCAAUUCCGCGUGGGUGAAGAAGGCCUUCGGGUUGUAAAGCCCUUUAGGCGGGGAAGAAGGUUCUAGGGCGAUAAACCUUAGAAUUUGACGGUACCCGCAGAAUAAGCACCGGCUAACUCUGUGCCAGCCGCCGCAGUAA
rnacentral:rRNA from 1 species